UUGGAGGAAUGUAUAGCUAUAGCUAAUUGUAAUAACAAAUGGUUGUUACAAUAUCGAUUAUGUCGAAUAAAGUUCUAGGUAGAUUUAUGAUAAUGACAUUGUCUACUUAUGUGUCUUGACCAAAUUACGUGCCAGCAGUCGCGGUAAUACGUAGAAGACUAGCGUUAUUCAUCUUUAAUAGGUUUAAAGGGUACCUAGACGGUAAAUCAAGCCUUAAUCGGUACUAAUUUACUAGAGUUACUUCUGAGGGGGCAUAAAAGUACUAAUGGUGUAGAGAUGAAAUUCUAUAAUACCUUUUUUCGAAAGAAAAAGAAUGGCACAGAUAUAGGCGAAAGCAUCCCCUUAAGUGAUAACUGACGUUGAAGGACGAAGGCUUUGUGUCGCGAACAGGAUUAGAUACCCUAGUAGUCAAGGCAGUAAAUGAUGAAUGUCAUAGAUUAGAUAAUUUAAUAUUUAUUCUAUAAACGAAAGUGUAAGCAUUCCACCUCAAGAGUAACAUGGCAACAUUGGAACUGAAAUCAUUAGACCGUUUCUGAAACCAGUAGUGAAGUAUGUUGUUUAAUUUGAUAAUCCGCAAAAAACCUUACCACAAUUUGAAUAUUUAUAUCAUUUCGAUCUAAUUACAAGCGUUGCACGGCUGUCUUCAGUUAAUGUCGUGAGAUUUUGGUUAGUUCCAUUAAAUUAACGUAAACCCUUACUUUAUUUUGACAUAAAGUAGUUCCCCGCUAUAUUGGAUAUGAUAACAGGGACUAAGACAAGUCAUCAUGGCCUGAAUGUUGUGGGCUAUAGACGUGCCACAUAUGCCUAACAAAAGGAUG
rnacentral:rRNA from 1 species